UACAGAGGUGGCAAGCGUUGUUCGGAAUUACUGGGCGUAAAGGGCGCGUAGGCGGCCAUCUAAGUCAGACGUGAAAUCCCCCGGCUUAACCUGGGAACUGCGUCUGAUACUGGACGGCUUGAGUAUGGGAGAGGAACGUAGAAUUCCAGGUGUAGCGGUGAAAUGCGUAGAUAUCUGGAGGAAUACCGGUGGCGAAGGCGGCGUUCUGGACCAUUACUGACACUGAGUCGCGAAAGCUAGGGGAGCAAACGGG
rnacentral:rRNA from 1 species